AUUGAACGCUGGCGGCAUGCUUUACACAUGCAAGUCGAACGGUAACAGGGUGCUUGCACCGCUGACGAGUGGCGAACGGGUGAGUAAUGCGUCGGAACGUGCCGAGUAGUGGGGGAUAACGCAGCGAAAGUUGUGCUAAUACCGCAUACGUACUGAGGUAGAAAGUGGGGGACCUUCGGGCCUCACGCUAUUCGAGCGGCCGACGUCUGAUUAGCUAGUAGGUGAGGUAAGAGCUCACCUAGGCGACGAUCAGUAGCGGGUCUGAGAGGAUGCUCCGCCACACUGGGACUGAGACACGGCCCAGACUCCUACGGGAGGCAGCAGUGGGGAAUUUUGGACAAUGGGCGCAAGCCUGAUUCAGCCAUGCCGCGUGUCUGAAGAAGGCCUUCGGGUUGUAAAGGACUUUUGUCAGGGAGGAAAUCCUAGUGGCUAAUACCUGCUGGGGAUGACAGUACCUGAAGAAUAAGCACCGGCUAACUACGUGCCAGCAGCCGCAGUAAAAC
rnacentral:rRNA from 1 species